AGGAAAUGAGAAAAACCUCCGGCCAAAACGCCACGACGACAGCCAACACACACCAUGAAUAAUGGCCAGGACACCAGAAGUAAUUUCCAAGCUUCUCUUCAAAAUUGUGCCAUGUGAAUGUUCACAUCCACCUGAGAGACUUCAUCCUAGACCAGAAUCAUGAAUGGUGCCAGGAACCCCAAGUUCUCCAGACCAGCUGCUGUAAAGCAGGGUCCCUGACAGGCAGAAGGACAUGAGACUCAUUGUUGAUAUACAUUUAUUGCUUCAUAUAUUUACUGCUAUAUAUAUAUCUAUUGAUUUACAUAUUUAGUUACUGCUUUAUAUAUAUAAAAACCACUUUACAUA